UCCUCCAGGGCCUGUCGUUCCGGGUUCGCUCGGUCAGUGUUGGAGAACAGUGGCUGCAGCAUCAGAGCGCCCCCUGCAGGAGGACUCGUGGUGAAGCCAAGAAGUGCCGUAAGGUUUACGGCAUCGAGCACCGGGAGCAGUGGUGCACGGCGUGCCGCUGGAAGAAGGCCUGCCAGCGCUUCACCGACUGAGCAGCGCCGCCUGCUGGACACUUCGUACUCUCGUUCCUCUUUUUAUUCCCACAAGUGUCGUUUUUACGGUUUGUUGUCGUCCUGAAGGACUUUUACGAACUAAUGAGGCAGCUACAGAGCAGAUCCACACCGGGCCGGACCGGACCGGCACCUGGACGGGCCGAGACCGUUAGAGGAGCAGCUGAGCUUAGCUGCUCUGGACCGUGAACCUCUACAGAACCACCGCUUCACUCUGCUGAACACGCUCAGCGCUCAGUUUAUUAGGAACGGCUGCUUAAAGCUCCACACUGUUGUAAACGGGGUGGACAAAAUAACAGAAACACCUGAUAAAGCCUCCAGCUGCAGCGAUCAAUCAGUCAGUUGGUCAAUACUAAGUUCAUCUCCAUCUGAUUUAAUUACCAAAAUAAAUAAACAGUCUAAACUCUGA